CGGAGAGGGAGCAUGAGAAACGGUUACCACAACUAAGGUUGGCAGCAGGCGCGCAAAUUGCCCAAUAGCAACACAUCGCUGAGGCAGCGAAGAGAAAUAGCAACUUCAUGCGGCCCUGCCGUGUGAAGAUUGCCAUGGACGAUAUCUAAACCUGUCGGUGAGUAUCAAUUGGUGGACAAGUCUGGUGCCAGCACCCGCGGUAAUUCCAGCACCAAUAGCGUAUAUUAAUGCUGCUGCUGUUAAAAAGCUCGUAGUUGGAUCAAGAGUACAACAGUGCAAGGUGGCCUCAUUGCGUCAGUGGCUCCGGUCGCUGGCGCGGUGGCGGAUCUAACCCCUUGCAUUAAACUGUUGUCUCUAACAGGCCGAAGCGGUUCCCUGUGAGUAGGCCACUUCAUUGGGGCUGAAAGCGAUUACGCAUUUACCACAUGCAUACGGGACGUCGGCCAAAGUUACUGUGAACAAACCAGCGUGUCCAAAACAGGCUUUCGCCUGAAUGUUCGAGCAUGGAAUAACAAGGGAUCGAUUCUCUCGGUUCUUUUUGUUGGUUUUUAACCCGAGAAGGAGUAAUUCAGGCCACGGUGUCUGGGCUGGGUUCCCCUAGGCUUCGUGCUUAGGCCCCAGUUAGGCCGUGUUCUUACGGGAUAAAUAGGGACUGACGGGGUCGUACGUACUUCCACGUCAUAGGUGAAAUUCUUAGAUCGUGGGAAGACGAACUUCUGCGAAAGCAUUCGACAAGAAUGUCUUCAUUAAUCAAGAACGAGAGCGUGGGGAUCGAAGAUGAUCAGAUACCGUCGUAGUCCACUACUGUAAACAAUGCCGUCUCAGGAUUGAGAAGUGAACCUAAUGACUUUCACAGCACUAACUCCUGAAACGAGAAAUCAAAGAUUAUGGGUUCAGGGGGGAGUACAUUCGCAAGGCUGAAACUUAAAGGAAUUGACGGAAUGACACCACAAGGCGUGGAGUAUGCGGCUUAAUUUGACUCAACACGGGGGAUUUUACUAGGUUAGGACAAUGUAAGGAUUGACAGAUUGAGAGCUCUUUCUCGAUCCAUUGUGUGGUGGUGCAUGGCCGCUCCUGGUUGGUGGAGUGAUUUGUCUGGUUGAUUCCGUUAACGAACGAGAUCUCGACCCUUAAAUAGGUGCCCGUGUCGAUCGUAGUUUCGCCUCCGCCCGGCUUGCCGAGAUUGGAGCGGGACGAGACUGCGGGAAUACUUCUUAAGGGGACUGUGUGCGUCUCUAGCACGCGGAAGAGCGAGCCAAUAGCAGGUCUGUGAUGCUCCUAAAUGUCCUAGGCUGCACGCGCACUACACUGAUGCAAUAAACGAGUCUGAGUGCCUCCUGGCAACCUACCUAGAAGUGGGUGGGAAAUCUUUUGAACUUGCAUCGUGAUGAGGAUCGACGAUUGCAAUUAUUCUCCUUGAAUGAGGAAUGCCUAGUAGGCACAAGUCAUCAGCUUGUACUGAUUACGUCCCUGCCAUUUGUACACACCGCCCGUCGUUGCUACUGAUUGGCUGUAGGGUAGAGAUCGGCGGACUCCGGCAUCGGGGGGCAACCCUCUUUGCUGGGAGAAACCUAUCAAUAUUCUGCAGCUAGAAGAAGCAAAAGUCGUAACAAGG
rnacentral:rRNA from 1 species